GGUGAGGUUACGGCUUAUUUUUAUUUACUUCUUUGUAAUUUACCAUUUGUGUAGAUUUUCUAUGACAAAAAUACAUUAUUUCCACCACUACAGUGGAAAGCCCUAUUUUAUACAAAGAACUGUGGACAGAAAAAGUCACUAGGGCCGUAUUUAUGACUGCCCAGCCACAGUCUAAUGGAGGCAGACACAGUGCUUUAUCAUGUUGAAUGAGUAAUUUCUUGUCCUCCUUUUGAUACUAUCUUUCUGAUGGUCCAAACCUGGAUGGAGAGUAAGGUGAUGAAAAGGCCUCCAUUUUUCCUGAUCCACUGGUAUGUGAAUAGCUACCAGCCCCGAAGAAAAGAGGGUUUGGGAGAAGACGUAUAAUAGAAUUUGGAUUAUUUUUUCUUGCUCUGGCUUCAUCUGCAUCCUUAACUGAUGAAAAUAUUUAUUUCUAUUUAUUUAUUUUUUUUGAGACAUAGUCUCGCUCUAUCACCAGGCUGGAGUGCAGUGGCGCCAUCUUGGCUUACUGCAACUUCCGUUUUCCGGUUUCAAGCAAUUCUCCUGCCUCAGCCUCCCGAGUAGCUGGGACAACAGGCACUCACCACCACGCCCAGCUAAAUUUUUGUAUUUUUAGUAGAGACAGGGUUUCAUCAAGGUGGCCAGGAUGAUCUUGAUCUCUUGACCUCAUGAUCCACCUGCCUCGGCCUCCCAAAGUGCUGGGAUUACAGGUGUGAGCCACCACACCCAGCCAUUUAUUUCUAUUAUUUGUCCCCAUUUACCUUGCCAGGAAGAGUUGUUGAGAAAUAGCAUGAGCUACACUGUGAGGCUCCGAAGGCUCACCUGUUCCUGGCAUGGCAUUCCUAUUCCCAAGGUGCUCUCCUGGGUCUCUGACAGUCUGCUCCCUGCUAAUUGGUGCAGAUGGGAGUAGGAGGAUGAGCAGAGUACACGAGGGAAGAAGCAGAUUCUCCCAACGACGAAGCAGAGUCUCAGAGACAUUAAACAAUUUGCCCAACUUGAAGCAACUAGCAGGAGGCUUAGUCAGGAUGAGGCUGCAGGUCUCUCUGUCUCCAAGGAAAGUUUCCCAGGCAUUGACUCCACUGCCUGAAGAGUUGUGAAUAAAGAGGGGGAUGAGCAAGAAGAGGCAGAGGAAGCCUCCUAGCCAUGGUGCAGGCAUGACUCCAGGGAGAAACAGAGGGAGGCACGAUGAUCCAAGAGAAGGAGCCUCAGACUGCCUCUCUGAGAGUCCAGAUCAGACUGACGGGGAUUCCCAGAGCAGAGAGUAUCCAUCAGAGAAGUCCACCACAUUGGGCAGUAAUGGUCAAGCUCCAGCCAAUAAAAGCAAUAACACUUAACUUCUUGGUGACCUCCUCCUUCCACUCCCCCCAAAAAGUUUCUUUAAAUUUUUUGUUUUCAUCUCUGUGGUUUUAGUGCUUAGAAACAUU
rnacentral:lncRNA from 1 species